rnacentral:lncRNA from 1 species
UGUGCCUCCAUCUUGGGUGAAAGAAGAGAUGUGAGGGCAUUUUUGUCUUCUCCCCCGCUCCCUAAUUCUGUUGAAGUGCUUUCAGACCACCUGAAGGGAGCAGCUCUAAAUGCUUCAGGGCGUGUGGUUGAACAGACUCCAACUACCAAGAUGGAGAAGCUGAAGUGGAUCACACUGGUCAGCACUGACCAGAACCACCUCAAGCACCAGGGCAGCAGACACAAGCAGGAAAAUUGACUCUGAUCAUCCCUGGGGUCGUUUAACUAAAACACACAUUUCGGUCGAGCCAAGUGUUCACCAGCGCUUUUCAACUCCCCUGGUGUCAAAACAAUUAGCAGAUCACAGCAGCACCGACUCGCUGGUGCUGCAAUGGAAGCAUCUGGCCAGCACAUGGAGACGCAAUGCCAGCACAGACAAAUGUGACCAGAAGGAAUCUGACACAACCAACCCUUCCUUUGCAAUCAACGUGGGAUCCAAAACAAACCUUCGGCGCUCUCGGCAUCGCUGCCCAGGGAACCAGGCAUCCUGCAAAUAAACACUGAAUUGCAAAUCUGCGAGGGAGCUGAAUACAGCAUCACAGCCAUACUUCUUUCUGGUGGAUUGGCUCAGAAGAGAAGUUCUGUACAUGGGCUUUGGUAACAUCCAGCCAAGAGCUGAGUUUCGAGGGCCAGGAACUGCAGAUGGGCACACA